rfam:Exophiala xenobiotica strain CBS 118157 unplaced genomic scaffold supercont1.7, whole genome shotgun sequence.
GCUCCAAUGGCGCAAUGGUAGCGCGCCAGACUUCUAAUCUGGAGGGUAAGAUACUCUCCUGUAUCGCCUGCCAAUACACGUCGCCUAACAAUUAUAGUUGUGGGUUCGAGUCCCACUUGGAGUG